rnacentral:lncRNA from 1 species
CCUUUGGAGCAGAAGCGGUAGUGCCAACAGAACUGCUAGCUCCCACAACCCGCACUGAUGUUGUCCUUACCGGAGAGAACGAAGGGAUUCUGGCAAGGGAAAAAACUGUUCUUGACGACAAGAGAGAGCAUGCCCUACAGCACCUCCUCCGGUACCAGGAAACCAUCAAAAGAGGAUAUGACAAGCGAGUCGUAAAGAGGAAAUUCAAUCCGGGCGACUGGAUCAUGAGAAAAGUCAAAGUUAUGACUAGGGGUGAGCACGGUUCAAAACCGGACAGAUUUAGGUGAAACCGAAACCGAACUGUGGAGCACAGUUUCAAAGUUUUGGAACCGAAACCGAACCGAUCAACCUUAGGAACCGGUCAGAAACCGAACCGAUUAUUACAGUUCGGUUCGGUUUGUUUUUACGGUUUGGGCUUUUUAAAUUUUGGGCCUGCAACCUUAAUAUAGUGUGGGCUUUCAGAAUUUAUUUAACAUUAAAUCCAAGAAUCCACUUGGCUAAUCAUAUUAACAUAUCUUAACCAUUACAAAAUCCAUAUCAAUAUCUCAGAUUGGGCCAAAUAUAGUCAUCAUCUAUCACAAAUCCAUGAUACAUCCUGUUUUAUCAUUACAUUACUUACACAUUACAAUAUAUCCAUAGUCAUUAAAAUAGUCCCUCUGAAAAAAAAAACCAAAAUAAAACUACAAAUCCAUAUGCUGACAUGCAUGACACUCUCCAACUCCAAAAUCUUUUAGCAUAUCCAAACCUGCAAAAAUGCAAAAUACAAAAAAUAAUACUAGUGGUCAUACAACUUCAUGUACAGUAGGUUAUAGGUUUGUAUAUAUAAAGAUGAUCAAUGAUUAAAUUUCAAUAACAAAAUGUAUGCAAUAUAAAUCAUAAGACUAAAUACACAGUAGCCUAUUAGAGCGUGUUUUGCAAGCAAAAAGGGUGGUACCCUACUUGGUUAAGUUCAUAAUGGCAAGGGUGCUCUGUAACACUUUCGACAAAACACAUAGCUCAUGUUUAACUUUUCAUGUCAGUUUGUAUAGGAGUCUGCAACUUGAGCCAACAGGUUGUAAUGUUGUAUAGCAUAUUCUGCAUAUUUUCUAAAUGUUUUCUUAUUUAGAAAAUGAGCCAAACAGAAUAUCAAGACAAAUAAAUAUACUGAAAAUGAGCCAAACAGUAUAAAUUAAUCAACAGUGAUAUAACAGACUAUCAUUAGAUGUCCAACUAGUCACAGAUCACACUAAGAAGGUAAUAUAUUGUACUGACCCAAUGGAAGCCUACACAUCUCAAUCAUGCAUGUGUUGUAGUUGGUGUUGUUGCUGCUAUUGCAGUUGCUGAAGUUGUUGGCGCGAACGUUUCUAAAUGAAAAAAUCUGAUUUAGCCAUAGUUACGAUUGUAAUUGUACGCAACAUAAAUAUAUACUACAUUUAAUAGUUACCUGCAUCAAUUGCAUCGAAUUGCUCUAUUUCCUCCAUUGAAGCUUGAAGAUCUAUCUUUGGCCUUGCUCGAAGCCAAUUUUGAGCGCAAAUGAGAGCCUCCACUGU